CAGUCGCCGCGGUAAUACAGAGGGUGCGAGCGUUAAUCGGAUUUACUGGGCGUAAAGCGUGCGUAGGCGGCUUUUUAAGUCGGAUGUGAAAUCCCUGAGCUUAACUUAGGAAUUGCAUUCGAUACUGGGAAGCUAGAGUAUGGGAGAGGAUGGUAGAAUUCCAGGUGUAGCGGUGAAAUGCGUAGAGAUCUGGAGGAAUACCGAUGGCGAAGGCAGCCAUCUGGCCUAAUACUGACGCUGAGGUACGAAAGCAUGGGGAGCAAACAGGAUUAGAUACCCCAGUAGUCCCUGUCUCUUAUAU
rnacentral:rRNA from 1 species